rnacentral:rRNA from 1 species
CCUACGGGUGGCAGCAGUGAGGAAUAUUGGUCAAUGGCCGGAAGGCUGAACCAGCCAUGCCGCGUGAAGGUCAGUGCCCUAUGGGCGUUAAACUUCUUUUGUGCGGGAGCAAUAAUGGUCACGUGUGGCCAGACGAGAGUACCGUACGAAUAAGCAACGGCUAAAUCCGUGCCAGCAGCCGCGGUAAUACGGGGGAUGCAAGCGUUAUCCGGAUUUAAUUGGUUUAAAGGGUGCGUAGGCUGUGAGGUCAGUCAGCGGGGAAAUGCCCCGGCUCAACGGGGUGAAGUGUCAGUGAUACUGCAUUGCUGGAGUGCGGAUGCGGUGGGAGGAAUGUGUGGUGUAGCGGUGAAAUGCAUAGAUAUCACACAGAACACCGAUUGCGAAGGCAUCUCACGAAUCCGCGAUUGACGCUGAGGCACGAAAGCGUGGGUAUCAAACAGGAUUAGAUACCCGUGUAGUC